GGUUAUGGCUCAGUGGUAAAGCGCUUCCAUAGCACGCAUGAGGUACUGAGUUUGAUCCUCAGCACCA
rnacentral:tRNA from 1 species